UCAUACAGCUUUGAAAGUUAUAUAUUUAGAACUGUUUCGUUUUUUGUGUUCUGACUUGUAAAACAGAAUGAAUAAAUAAGUAAUGUAAAUAUUAGUAAUUACCAGUAAACUCUACAACAUUUGAUUUAAAAUCACACCAAGAUAGUUAAAACUGGGCUGAGGUUAUUGAGGGAUCUGAUCAGGAUUUACCCUCGUAGCAAUGCCGUUUUAUCAUGUGGAGGUUUCAUUCGGGUCUCUAUUUUAAAAAACACACUUUCUUUGGCAGGAGAAAGACCAGACUCAGAGGAACCAGAGACACGGACGUCCAAACCAGCAAGAAGACACCAAAAACAAAGAAGGAUCCCUAUUGUGUGCAGAUUUUGCAUGAAGAACCAGGAAAACAUAUCUAUACAUCUCAGCAGAGUCUGCAUGAAGACAGAAUCAAAACAAAAGAUUGAUCAGGAAGUUCGUAAUUCCCGCGACUCCAUGAUUGAGCAUCUUUGGCACGGCAGGAUUAUUGACUACAGAAUACUCAGCUGUAUUGUGACACAACAGGACGCACUCCAACCUCUGAUUAAGAACCGUGAACAAAUGGGUCAUUUUGUUACGAACAAGCCAGAAGCCAAACUAAUAACUGGCCAAGUGGAAGUGGCUCAAGUGUUGGCACCAACUACAGAUGAAAAUAUAGAUGAAGAAUCAGACGUCAACAUGGAAGAUGACCAGUCGGCGCUGUACCAACCACCAUUGAACCAGGUAUGGGACACCAAACUGAGAAAGGUGAUGCAAAGCAGUGGUUUAUACCAAAAGCACCCUCUGGAUUGUGAUCUGCUGGCUGGAUUUGGGAAAUAUCUCCGUGGCGACAACAAAAUUCCCAAUUUCAAA